UGUUAAACGAGAAGACUUUAGAUAUGAUCCAGAGUACCACGGGACACGUGAAACCCUGUGGGAAGCAGGAGGGACCACCCUCCAAGGCUAAAUACUACCUAGUGACCGAUAGCGUAUAGUACCGUGAGGGAAAGGUGAAAAGAACCCCGGGAGGGGAGUGAAAUAGAACCUGAAACCCUGCACUUACAAGCUGUGGAAGCACAUUUCUUGUGUGACCGCGUACUUUUUGUAGAACGGGCCAACGAGUUACGUUAAGUAG
rnacentral:rRNA from 1 species